rfam:Aedes albopictus isolate Foshan contig140971, whole genome shotgun sequence.
UAGCCUAGUGGUUAAGGCUAUGGAUCGCCAAUCCGGAGACGGUGGGUUCGAUUCCCAU